rnacentral:rRNA from 1 species
UACAGAGGGGGCAAGCGUUGUUCGGAAUUAAUGGGCGUAAAGGGCGCGUAGGCGGCCCGCUAAGUCGAACGUGAAAUCCCCGAGCUCAACUCGGGAACUGCGUCCGAUACUGGCGGGCUUGAAUCCGGGAGAGGGAUGCGGAAUUCCAGGUGUAGCGGUGAAAUGCGUAGAUAUCCGGAGGAACACCGGUGGCGAAGGCGGCUUCCUGGACCGACACUGACGCUGAGGCGCGAAAGCUAGGGGAGCGAAUGGG